rnacentral:rRNA from 1 species
UCAUAUGCUUGUCUCAAAGCUUAAGCCAUGCAAGUGUAAGUUCACGCCACGCAUUAGAACGGGCGAAACCGCGAAUGGCUCAGGAACCGGACCUAAUCCUCGGGACCGUAAUCCUCCUCGGAGGCGAUGGAUAACUGUGGCAAUUCUAGAGCUAAUACAUGUGACACAGGCCGCGAUCGGUCGACGCGCCGUGGUCGCCUCGCCUCGCGCGCUGGCACCCGCGUCGGCCGUCUUGGGUCGCGGCGCUACAUAUUAGACUGAGACCGAUGCGCGAUUUCCGUCCUCUCGUUUCGGGUUUCGGCUCGUUUCGGGGUCAAGGUCGGCGCGCUCCGCUUUGGUGACUCUGGAUAACUCACUGGUCGAUCGCACGGGCUUCCACGCCCGGCGACGGGUCCCUCGWGGGUCCGCCCUAUCAACUGUCGACGGUCGGUUAAGUGCCUACCGUGGUUACUACGGGUAACGGGGAAUCGGGGUUCGAUUCCGGAGAGGGAGCAUGCGAAACGGCUACCACAUCCAAGGAAGGCAGCAGGCGCGCAAAUUACCCACUCCCGGCACGGGGAGGUAGUGACGAAAAAUAACGACGCGGGACUCUGUCGAGGCCCCGCGAUCGGAAUGAGUACACUUCAAAUCCGUUAACGAGGACCAACCGGAGGGCAAGUCUGGUGCCAGCAGCCGCGGUAAUUCCAGCUCCGGUAGCGUAUAUUAAAGUUGUUGCGGUUAAAAAGCUCGUAGUCCGAACUCGGGUUCGUGGUCGCUCACGCGGCCCCGGGGCGGCGGCGCCAUCGUCCAUCGUUGACUUUGGUCGUCCGUUCGCAUUCCCGGCCCUUUCCGCCGGUGUCAAUCGCUAUUAAGACGGUCGCAGGUCAGCUGGUGGUUGGCGUGGUGCUUGCGCUUUGGGGGGGUUCGAGGUGCGGGUUCGCCCAAACUGACUUCUCUUCCUUUGCGUUCGUGUCCGGGCUUUCGGGCUCCCUUCCGCUAUGCCCCUGUGUGCCGUCGGUGAUUUCUCCUCCAAGGGUGCUCUUAACCGAGUGUCCGCGGCGGCCGGUACGUUCACUUUGAAAAAAUUAGAGUGCUCAGAGCGGGCUGUUCAAGCUUGCAUACUAUAAGCAUGGAAUGAUGGAAGAGGGCCUCGUCUACGUCUGUCGGUCUCCGUCUACGGCGAGGCAAUGAUCGAAGGGAGCGGUCGGGGCCACUCGUAUUGCGACGUUAGAGGUGAAAUUCUUGGAUCGUCGCAAGACGAACUGCAGCGAUGGCGUGUGGCAAGCACGUUUUCCUCGAUCAAGAGCGAAAGUCGGAGGUUCGAAGACGAUCAGAUACCGUCGUAGUUCCGACCGUAAACGAUGCCGACCGGCGAUCCGCCGGCGUUCGCUUCCAUGACCCGGCGGGUAGCCUGCGGGAAACCAGAGUUCGGUUCCGGGGGGAGUAUGGUUGCAAAGCUGAAACUUAAAGGAAUUGACGGAAGGGCACCACCAGGAGUGGAGCCUGCGGCUUAAUUUGACUCAACACGGGAAAACUCACCCGGUCCGGACACCGGUAGGAUUGACAGAUCGAUAGCUCUUUCUCGAUUCGGUGGGUGGUGGUGCAUGGCCGUUCUUAGUUGGUGGAGCGAUCCGUCUGGUUGAUUCCGAUAACGAACGAGACUCCGGCCUGCUAACUAGUGCGCCGAUGUGAGUGCGGCCUUCGGGUCGUGUGCGGGCUCGUGGGCGAUUUUUGAUCGUCUCUCGUGUCCGGGUCGGUUUCUCACGCACUUCUUAGAGGGACGGGUGGCAGAAAGCCACACGAGGCGGAGCGAUAACAGGUCUGUGAUGCCCUUAGAUGUCCGGGGCCGCACGCGCGCUACACUGGAGGUAUCAGCGGGGACUUCGCCCCGGCCCGAGAGGGUCGGGAAACCUCUCAACCACCUCCCGUGAUAGGGAUCGGGGCCUGUAACCAACCCCGUGAACGAGGAAUUCCCGGUAGGCGCGGGUCAACAGCCCGCGUCGAUCACGUCCCUGCCCUUUGUACACACCGCCCGUCGCUACUACCGAUCGAACGGUCCGGUGAGGUCCUCGGAUCUGGCCGACGACGCCGCCGGGUGAAGGCUUUCGGGUCCCGCCUCGGCGUUCGAUGCCUGGAGAAGACGACCGAACCCGAUCGUUUAGAGGAAGUAAAAGUCGUAACAAGGUUUCC